rnacentral:rRNA from 1 species
UACGUAGGGUGCAAGCGUUAAUCGGAAUUACUGGGCGUAAAGCGUGCGCAGGCGGCUUUGUAAGUCUGAUGUGAAAUCCCCGGGCUCAACCUGGGAAUUGCAUUGGAGACUGCAAGGCUAGAAUCUGGCAGAGGGGGGUAGAAUUCCACGUGUAGCAGUGAAAUGCGUAGAGAUGUGGAGGAACACCGAUGGCGAAGGCAGCCCCCUGGGUCAAGAUUGACGCUCAUGCACGAAAGCGUGGGGAGCAAACAGG